rnacentral:lncRNA from 1 species
GUUACAGUCAUACAUACUGGUUACAAUUACUAUGUUACAGUGAUACAUACUGGUUAUAAUUACUAUGUUACAGUCAUACAUACUGGUUAUAAUUACUAUGUUACAGUCAUACAUACUGGUUACAAUUACUAUGUUACAGUCAUACAUACUGGUUAUAAUUACUUUGUUACAGUCAUACAUACUGGUUAUCACACACACACACACACACACGGUCGUUUUGUUCACACACACACACACACACACACACACACACACGGUCGUUUUGUUCACACACACACACUGUCGUUUUGUUCACACACACACACAAGGUCGUUUUGUUCACACACACACACACACAAAUGGUCGUUUUGUUCACACACACACACGGUCGUUUUGUUCACACACACACACGGUCGUUUUGUUCACACACACACACGGUCGUUUUGUUCACACACACACACGGUCGUUUUGUUCACACACACACACGGUCGUUUUGUUCACACACACACGGUCGUUUUGUUCACAAACACACACACACGGUCGUUUUGUUCACACACACACACGGUCGUUUUUUUUUCACACACACACACACACACACGGUCGUUUUGUUCUCUCACACACACACGGUCGUUUUGUUCACACACACACACACACACGGUCGUUUUGUUCACACACACACGGUCGUUUUGUUCACACACAACACACACACACGGUCGUUUUGUUCACACACACACACACACGGUCGCUUCGUUCACACACACACACACACACACACGGUCGUUUUGUUCACACACACACACACACGGUCGUUUUGUUCACACACACACACGGUCGUUUUGUUCACACACACACACGGUCGUUUUGUUCACACACACACACACACGGUCGUUUUGUUCACACACACACACACACACACACACACACGGUCGUUUUGUUCACACACACACACACACACGGUCGUUUUGUUCACACACACACACAUGGUCGUUUUGUUCACACACACACACACGGUCGUUUUGUUCACACACACACACACGGUCGUUUUGUUCACACACACACACACGGUCGUUUUGUUCACACACACACACACACAGUCGUUUUGUUCACACACACGCACACACACACACGGUCGUUUUGUUCACACACACACACACACGGUCGUUUUGUUCACACACACACACACGGUCGUUUUGUUCACACACAUACACACACACACACACACACACACACACGGUCGUUUUGUUCACACACACACACACACACACACACACGGUCGUUUUGUUCACACACACACACGGUCGUUUUGUUCACACACACACACGGUCGUUUUGUUCACACACACACACGGUCGUUUUGGUCACACACACACACGGUCGUUUUGUUCACACACACACGGUCGUUUUGUUCACAAACACACACACACACACGGUCGUUUUGUUCACACACACACACGGUCGUUUUUUUCACACACACACACACACACACACACACACACACACCACGGUCGUUUUGUUCUCUCACACACACACGGUCGUUUUGUUCACACACACACACACACACGGUCGUUUUGUUCACACACACACAGGUCGUUUGUUCACACACACACACACACACACACACGGUCGUUUUGUUCACACACACACGGUCG